GGGGAUUUAGCUCAGCGGUAUAGAGCGCUUGCCUAGCAUGUGCAAGACCCUGGGUUCGGUCCCCAGCUCCA
rnacentral:tRNA from 1 species